CAGCAGUUCGAUCCUGCUUAGCUCCACCACUUUUUAAGCGCAUUUAUGAUGAUAAGUGUCUUUAAAAAGUGGUUUAUCGUAUUGAUAGAUUCACAUGCUCUUUAACAAUCUGGAAAGCUGACAAGUCAUUCUUUAAGAAUGACAGUAAAGUUCUCAAUCAGUGACAGAAAUGUCACUCACACAAUCAAGUGUGCUUGGGCUUUGUCUUAGUAAUAAGCAAAGUCUCUAUUUUGAGUCCGGCAAAAACAAAACCUUAAUUGGUUGAUGAUUCAACACUGAGUGGUUUUGCGACGCAGAUUUCUUUUUAAGACAGUCUCGACGUAAAUAAAACCUCUUGGGGUUGUAUGGUUAAGUGAUUAAGCGUAGACGGUGGAUGCCUUGGCAGUCAGAGGCGAUGAAGGACGUACUAACCUGCGAAAAGCGAUGGUGAGCUGGUAAGAAGCAUUUGAGCCAUCGAUGUCCGAAUGGGGAAACCCACCUGCCGCCUGGGGAGUACGGCCGCAAGGUUAAAACUCAAAUGAAUUGACGGGGGCCCGCACAAGCGGUGGAGCAUGUGGUUUAAUUCGAUGCAACGCGAAGAACCUUACCUACUCUUGACAUCCAGCGAAUCCUUUAGAGAUAGAGGAGUGCCUUCGGGAGCGCUGAGACAGGUGCUGCAUGGCUGUCGUCAGCUCGUGUUGUGAAAUGUUGGGUUAAGUCCCGCAACGAGCGCAACCCUUAUCCUUGUUUGCCAGCACAUAAUGGUGGGAACUCCAGGGAGACUGCCGGUGAUAAACCGGAGGAAGGUGGGGACGACGUCAAGUCAUCAUGGCCCUUACGAGUAGGGCUACACACGUGCUACAAUGGCAGAUACAGAGGGCAGCGAAGCUGCGAAGUGGAGCGAAUCCCUUAAAGUCUGUCGUAGUCCGGAUUGGAGUCUGCAACUCGACUCCAUGAAGUCGGAAUCGCUAGUAAUCGUGGAUCAGAAUGCCACGGUGAAUACGUUCCCGGGCCUUGUACACACCGCCCGUCACACCAUGGGAGUGGGCUGCACCAGAAGUAGAUAGCUUAACCUUCGGGAGGGCGUUUACCACGGUGUGGUUCAUGACUGGGGUGAAGUCGUAACAAGGUAGCCCUAGGGGAACCUGGGGCUGG
rnacentral:rRNA from 1 species